AGUGAACGCUGGCGGUAGGCCUAACACAUGCAAGUCGAACGGCAGCACAGUAAGAGCUUGCUCUUACGGGUGGCGAGUGGCGGACGGGAGAGGAAUAUAACGGAAUCUACACUUUCGUGGGGCAUAAGGUAGGGAAACUUACGCUCAUACCGCAUACGCUCUACGGGUGAAAGCAGGGGAUCUUCGGACCUUGCGCGAUUGAAUGAGCCGCUGUCGGAUUAGCUAGUUGGCGGGGUAAAGGCCCACCAAGGCGACGAUCCGUAGCUGGUCUGGGUGGAUGGUCGGCGGCACUGGAGGUGAGACACGGUCCAGACGCCUGCGGGAGGGAGCAGUGGCGAAUAGUGGGCAGUGGGGGCGAGCAUUGUCCAAUCGUACGGCGUGUGAGGAAGAAACGUUCGGGUUGGGAAGCCGGUUUUUUGGGAGUAAAAAGCAGCAGGUUGUUACGAAGCUGUAGUGACGGUACCCAGUAAAUAAGCACCGGCUAACUUCGUG
rnacentral:rRNA from 1 species